ACAGAUUUAUCUGAGCCGUGCCACAGAGACAACAAAGUAAGACAACUGCCCCAGCAGACAUCCACAUCUGUCAGUUAAUUAAUGUGGAGGAGACAAUGAGGUCUGUGGUCCUCUACCAUUUGCAUCUUGCGUUUGGCACUCCACUUUUCGAUGAGCUUGUGAGCGUCUUAUUGUAAUUAUGGGACAAUGAAGUUAAGUGGCGUUGGCAAGACAGGGAGUACUGCUUGCAUAUUCGAGCGUCCCCUGAAUACCAAUUGCUUAUUAAAGUCAAAGAAAUAUUAUCAUAAUUAAUGCCCCGAACAGAAGUGCAUGUGCGUCCUGAAGAAGUUUGUCCAGUUCUCUAUCAGGAAACUUAUGCUAAGUCCAGGAUUAUUGUACAAUAUAUUCUACACGUACGAUUAAGCCGACAAAGAGAAAGGAGUGCUAAACUUGGCACUAGGCAUGUGAUAAAUAUUGCGGUCUAUAUUUCUCAUAAAUUCAACAAUACUAGUUCAAAAUUGCAGUUAGCAAUUUAUAUUAUUCCCCAUCGUUGUGCAACAUGUUACCGGCCAAAUUAAUAUGCGGCCGCCUGCUUGUGCAACUCGCUUUCUGGCCUUAACCCUUUAAGAAGCUUAUACAAAUUGUGACGAUGACAGCGUCUGCCAAACUGGAGAAGACUGAAAUAACAUAUUCCAGACCAGACGAAGGCUGCCUAAUUUAAUGCAGAAAAACGCACACGCAAGCAACAGACGUGGUUGGUGGUUUAGGACGAAGUUGAAAAUAUUGUAUUACCCAGUACCAUUUUCAAAGUUGGUGAUUCAUUUGAAUUUAUAAUGACCCAUCUGUGCUCUUAAAAACCUGAAGAAAUGCAAUCUCAACUGAUCUUGGUCAAAGCGAACCAGAAGUCGGGCAUUCCCCGCAGACACCCCCUAGAACAUUAUGUUAGCCCAAACAGACGCCCCAAGGGGAAGCAGCCAUCAAACCUUCCAGAGAACGAGGGAAACAGCAGGAUCCGCAGCGAAGCGGAGUAUAAAUUAACAUAAUUUUCAUAUACACGCGCCAAAAGUUGCAACCACACCUCAACCUAGCCAUAGGAAAAAAGUGCUGGCGGGGACGGAAAACCAAGGAACGAGAACCCUAAGAGACAUAUGAAUUGCUUAACUUAAGGACAAAAUAUCAUAGAAAUUGUGUGAGUGCUUGUGGAGGAUGGGAAAAUGACAUAGUCCCACCCGAAUGACAGUUAUUAAUAUAUAUGCAAAAAAAACUGUCUCGCAA